rnacentral:rRNA from 1 species
UACGUAGGGCGCAAGCGUUUAUCCGGAAUUAUUGGGCGUAAAGAGCUCGUAGGCGGUUUGUCGCGUCUGCCGUGAAAGUCCGGGGCUCAACUCCGGAUCUGCGGUGGGUACGGGCAGACUAGAGUGAUGUAGGGGAGACUGGAAUUCCUGGUGUAGCGGUGAAAUGCGCAGAUAUCAGGAGGAACACCGGUGGCGAAGGCGGUUCUCUGGGCAUUACCUGACGCUGAGGAGCGAAAGUGUGGGGAGCGAACAGG